AGAGAGGCAGCUUUGCACGGGGUCCUCGCCAGGACGGCGAGUCCGGGGACGCUGCUCGGAGCCAAGGACGGAUGCUCAGAGAGCUUAUGGGAGCCAGGCCCGCUCAGCAGGCAGUGAGAUCAGCAGCGUUGAAGAAGCGUCGAAGAACUGUGAGUGAGGCCAGCAUGAUGACGAUGACGUCCCUGGUCUCUGAGAAGUGCUGCCACUGGUGCUGCAGGUACCAGGCGGUAUCAGGGAUUAAACCCGGAACUUCUGCAUGCAAACAUGCCCUCCAGACCCCAAGCCACUUCUCCACUCUCAGCUUCUCUGGGUGUGACCCUCUUGGCCCCCUGCUCAGGAGACCAUGCGGCACCCAGGAUCAAACCUGGGCCACCCACAUGCAAAGCGUGCGCCCAGCCUGCUAGUAAAUCUCUCCCGCCCCCUUCCCUUCCUAAGACAGAGCACAGAGGUCAGCUUCCCAGAGUGGCCGUGAUUAGAAUGGGGACAUGGGGACUAUCCCUAGGCAAUGUGUGACCCUAAUAACAAGGGCUUGAUAAAUGGUGGUUGUUCAGAAUCAUCAUUAUCACAACAAUAUUAAUAAUAGGCACUCAGAGGAGGGUGACCAGCUGACAGGGGAAUGAGAAAUUAAAGUAUGUAAGGACCAGGUAUGAGCCAGGAUGCCUUCCCGGGGACAAGAGCCGUCGUAAAAGGUCACCUUCAAACUUACAGGAGGUGUCCCAGGCUGGGGACAGGAAGCCUCUCUCUGACUGGGGAGAACGGCUACAGGGGUUUCUAACCUGGCAGACACCCCGGGAACAGACUUCCCUUUCGAGUACGGGAUCUGGUGACAGGAGGCUGAGCAGAGAAGGUCCCCGCCCCUCAGAAAGGGGCCCGACUGCGUGGCCCUCCAGCUGGAUGUGGCAGGACCGCUGGGCAGGCUGCAUCCAACACAGGCAGCUGAACCCACUUCCAGAGACAUUGCUUCACCAGGCCUGGGGUGGGGCCAGAGGAUUUGUCCCAGGUGAUGGCUGUGACGCACCAGGGGACUUACUCCAGAAAGUGGAAGUGUCCAAACUCCAGGCCCAUUGGGCUGGUCCACACCAAUGCUUCCAGAAGUUGUGGCAAUGUGGUUAAAAAAAAAAAAUGAUUGAAGUUCCAUGACUGUUUUAUGAUGUGAUCGGUAUUCAGUCUGGUGACCAUCCUUUCUUUAUUCUGAAGCCCUACACCCUUGAGUUGUUAUUGUUUUUUUUUUCUGACAUGAAAAUGUAAUUUCCAUAAUGACUCCAGGGUGAAAGACAACAAUCUUCACACAUUUUCCUCUAAGGAAAC